rnacentral:sRNA from 1 species
AUUCGUGGGCACCCCCUUCUGGAUGGCGCCUGAGGUCAUCAAGCAGUCGGCCUACGACUUCAAGGCUGACAUCUGGUCCCUGGGGAUCACGGCCAUUGAGCUGGCCAAGGGGGAGCCUCCAAACUCUGACCUCCACCCCAUGCGCGUCCUGUUCCUGAUUCCCAAGAACAGCCCACCCACGCUGGAGGGCCAGCACAGCAAGCCCUUCAAGGAGUUCGUGGAGGCCUGCCUCAACAAAGACCCCCGAUUCCGGCCCACGGCCAAGGAGCUCCUGAAGCACAAGUUCAUCACCCGCUACACCAAGAAGACCUCCUUCCUCACGGAGCUCAUCGACCGCUAUAAGCGCUGGAAGUCAGAGGGGCAUGGCGAGGAGUCCAGCUCUGAGGACUCUGACAUGUAGGGACCUGGUUUAUCCUCAUGGUGACCCUAGGUGCUGUGACGUGGGUGGUCCCCACUCCGGAAGCAGGGGCGUGGGCCCUGGGGGUGAGGGUGACCGGAUACAGUGUUGGGCAGGGACCCCCUCAA